CAUUAUCAUCCCCACAUCAUGCGAACAAGUCCCACUGUCAAGCAGCUAAAUGCGUAAACAUAAAAUGUAACACGUUAUCAUUGUUCAAAGGCAUACUCUCAGUAAACUUGGAAAACAGUGACAAGUUAUUAGUGUUCCCUAGAGCGUAGGGAGUUGCGCGUUGAACCAUUAAGUCGUAAGUUGCGCCUCUAAACUUGUAACCCAGUGGAAGCCUUAUUACAUGUGUGUGUGCGUGUGUGUAUGCGCUUGCGUGGAUUAUAAAAAAAUUUACACAACACAUAUGGCCAUUCGAAAGCUCAGUUCAAUUGUAAGUUCCACGAUAUACGCGACCACGCACUUUGCACAUUGGUAAUCUUCGGUCAAAGAACAUUUGUCAUUUUUGAUUAAGGCACUAUGAUUUGUUAGUGGUCGAAGAGGAAUAAAAGGAAAUUUUGGGAAUACAACGGUCUCGUAUUACCACGAGACCGUCUUUUCGUAGCAUUGAAGACGUCUCAUUUUAAUAUAUUGCACUCUUUUUUUUUCACUGGAGGACACACUCUUACUGUCACAUUUCUGUGAAUUAACUGUGGCGUGAUAGUGAAGUGAAUAAAGGAUACGGAAUUGACACUUGUUUUGUACGAUCCAAGAUGAGCUCCGAUAUGCAUUAUACACCGCCAACAUCGGACACUAUCCAGACUAAACCAUUCCCCAUAAGAGGUGAACGUGCCAAUUUUGUAAACAAGCCACACGUAAUAGCAAUGGUGGGUUUGCCAGCUCGAGGGAAGACCUACAUAUCAAAAAAGUUGUGCAGAUACCUCAACUGGAUUGGAAUAAACACAAAAGUAUUCAAUCUUGGUGAGUACAGGAGGCACGCGACAACGGCAUAUCAAUGUCACGAAUUUUUUCGUCCUGACAAUAUCAAGGCCAUGGCCAUAAGAACCCAGUGUGCUGUGGAUGCACUGAAUGACGUUUGCCAAUGGCUAGAAAGUGGUGAUGGUGAAGUAGCCGUAUUUGACGCUACAAAUUCGACAAUCGAGCGUCGACAGAUGAUCCACAAUAUUGUCGUUGAAAAAAUGGGCUUCAAAUUAUUUUUCGUGGAGUCUGUCUGUGAUGAUCCUGAAAUCGUUGAGCAGAACAUAAUGGAGGUAAAAGUCAGCAGUCCAGACUAUGCGAAUAUGAAUAAAGAGGAAGUACUUGCAGAUUUUGUCAAAAGAAUUGAGCAUUAUCAAGAGAAAUAUCAGCCCCUGGAUGAGAGUAAAGAGAGUGAAUUGUCAUUUAUGAAGAUUUACAACACAGGGGAGAAAGUACUCGUGUACAAGCACGAGGGCCACAUACAGAGCAGGAUAGUUUAUUACUUAAUGAAUAUACACAUUGUGCCACGAACAAUAUACUUGACGAGACAUGGUGAGAGUGUUAUGAACCUUGAGGGCAGAAUUGGGGGUGAUUCUGAUUUGAGUGAGAGAGGAAAGUUGUACGGAAAGGCAUUGGGACAGUACAUCGAUGAGCAAGAUAUUCAGGGCCUGAGAGUUUGGACAAGUUGGUUGAAGAGAACUAUCCAAACAGCCGCUGAUGUCAAUGCACCGCAGGAGAGGUGGAAGGCACUCAAUGAAAUUGAUGCUGGUAUUUGCGAAGAAAUGACGUACGAAGAGAUAUCCAGUAAAUAUCCAACGGAUUUUGCAGCGCGGGACCAAAAUAAAUUUUCAUACCGUUACCCAAGAGGAGAGAGUUACGAGGAUUUAGUGGCAAGACUCGAGCCCGUUAUAAUGGAACUUGAGAGACAAGGUAACGUUCUUGUUGUCACACACCAAGCUGUGCUGCGAUGUCUACUUGCUUAUUUCCUCGACAAAAGUGCAGAUGAACUUCCCUAUUUGCAAGUACCAUUGCACACUAUUAUGAAAUUAACGCCUGUGGCGUACGGUUGUAAAGUUGAGCGGAUCAGAUUGCCAAUCGAUGCAGUGGAUACACAUCGUCCAAAACCAAAGAAUAGUCAACGUUUUUCUUCGUGGUCAUGCUUCGUUUAGUACCUGUAUUCAUUUGUUAUUUGCUUGUGCUCUCUUUCUCUCUUCAGAUCUUUAAUAGAAUAGUGAUUCCAGGCUAUUUGGACGAACGAUACAGGAGCAAAGGGAGAAAUCUUCACAUCUGAUAACGACAAUUCAUUAAAUAAUUAUCAAUUAUUUCCACUUGUUCUUUCUUUUUCUGUCUGAUUAUGAUUGUCUCUUCGAAUCAUAUCGUUUACUAGAAAAAAAAUUAUAAUAGGAGCAUUUUGUUGAGGCAGCUGGCUGUCCCUAUAAUGAGCUUAUUAAAGUAAUAGUGCCAAAUUAGUUUGUAUUCAAUUACUGACGUAUUUUUAUUGAUUAAAGAGAAGUCGAUAGAGAAAUGGUCAUCAAAAUGUAAUAGUAUAGAUCGUGAUUUUUCCGUAAAAUUGCGAACCAUGUGAUAAAAGUGCUCAAGAGUGAUGAUAAACGAUAGUUAUCCCUUAUUUCAAUGUAAUUGUACUAUCAUUUGAUGGAAUUUUUCGGAUAAUAGCGGAGAUAUUAUUAUUUCCACACGUCUACUCGUCUCGAAUAUUUAAAUCCCCAGUUAAAAAUCCUAGGGAAUCUAUGGAUAAAAACCAAAAACCUUUUCAUAUGAACUGAUUCAAAAAACUUUAAUAAAAUCAACAACUAAUUACGAAAUUAACACUGUCUGCCAUCUGUAUAAAUAAUCCACGUAUGUUCAUUAAAUUAUAGUCAUUUAGACUUUGACAGUUCAUCCCGCGUCGAUUGUCACUUAUUAUAAAAUUUAUCCUGCGUUGAUAAUUCAAUAAAAAUCAUUGCAAUAUAA